GAGCACUUUCGUGCCCGACCGCGCGCGCGCACGCACGUCAAUCUAAAUUCCCCGUAAUUACUGACGAAAAACCAACAAUUACUCAGCAGGUUAUGUUCAAGAUAUCCGUAGAAAUACAUUUUCAUUUGAUUUAAUUAAACUCCAUUACAUAAGAUAGUUGUUUGCCAUGGAGAGCGACGCCAGACGGGAUUUAAAUUUCAAAAGUUCCAACGGCAACGG